rnacentral:rRNA from 1 species
ACUCCGCCGGCGACCGGCGGCACGGUCGAGUAACACGUACUAGCAACCUGCCCCUGGCUGGGGGAGUAAGCCGGACGAAUCCGGUCCUAAUACCGCGUAACAUCCUUGCGGGACGAUCCCGUUACGGAUCAAAGGAAGCGAUUCCGGCCAGGGAUGGGCAUGCGGCGCAUUAGCUAGUCGGCGGGGUAACGGCCCACCGAGGCGACGAUGCGUAGGGGUUCUGAGAGGAAGGUCCCCCACACUGGUACUGAGACACGGACCAGACUCCUACGGGAGGCAGCAGUGAGGAAUAUUGGUCAAUGGGCGCGAGCCUGAACCAGCCAAGUCGCGUGAGGGAAGACGGUCCUAUGGAUUGUAAACCUCUUUUGCCGGGGAGCAAGCUGUGCCACGUGUGGCGCAGCUGAGAGUACCCGGAGAAAAAGCAUCGGCUAACUCCAUG